rnacentral:rRNA from 1 species
GACGAACGCUGGCGGCGUGCCUAAUACAUGCAAGUCGAACGCAUUUUCUUUCACCGUAGCUUGCUACACCGAAAGAAAAUGAGUGGCGAACGGGUGAGUAACACGUGGGUAACCUGCCCAUCAGCGGGGGAUAACACUUGGAAACAGGUGCUAAUACCGCAUAAUUCCAUUUACCGCAUGGUAGAUGGAUGAAAGGCGCUUUUGCGUCACUGAUGGAUGGACCCGCGGUGCAUUAGCUAGUUGGUGGGGUAACGGCCUACCAAGGCUGCGAUGCAUAGCCGACCUGAGAGGGUGAUCGGCCACACUGGGACUGAGACACGGCCCAGACUCCUACGGGAGGCAGCAGUAGGGAAUCUUCGGCAAUGGACGCAAGUCUGACCGAGCAACGCCGCGUGAGUGAAGAAGGUUUUCGGAUCGUAAAACUCUGUUGUUAGAGAAGAACAAGGAUGAGAGUGGAAAGUUCAUCCCUUGACGGUAUCUAACCAGAAAGCCACGGCUAACUACGUGCCAGCAGCCGCGGUAAU